AAAACUUGUUACCGCUUAAGUGUUACGACAGAACAAAAAAAGACAAAACUCUUAAACUUUCUCUCGAAACUCAGUGUCUUCUUCUCGGUCAUGUUAUCUGGUCCUUUCUUCAUGGCUCACACCGGAAAAACCUAUAAUCGUCGUCGUCCAUGGCCACCGAAGUUGAAUCUCCUGGACGUCUCUGCAGCGUUUCUCUAAGGAAGAAGAAGCCUCCCAGUUCUCUCGGCAAAGAUGCUCACAAGUACACACCCUAAGGUUUUUAAUUCUUAGAUCAAGUGUUCGUACGAUUCAUAUUUAGUUUGUUUCGGUCUCAAAAGUAUUUCUUAUAGUGUGUUUGAUUGGAAAUUUGACAAUUUUAUAUAUUAGCAAGAUGCUUUAUAUUCAGUUAAAAGAAGGUUCGAGCUUCAGAAAAUAGUGGCUGCUUUCCUCAACCUUAAAGCUCGAUGAGCAUCUUCUCAGUCGCCUUGUAUCACGUUGUAAGCUGUGAACAUUUUUAACAAGAUUAAAUCCUAAAGUCUCUACCUUUUUUAUCUAUAAGAGUAACAGUUAGUUUCCUUUGAGUUUGUUUUACAGUAACCGGUACCAUAGUUCCAAGGAUUAUACUUGUCUUUGCUGCCCUUGCCGUUAGUGAUUCAAAUGGCUUCAAUUCUGACCCAGAUGUUUUUAGUUGUUUAUCUUGUGCCCCUUGUUUUCUAUCUGAUUUCAACCACCUUAGUAGGCAGUUAUUGAUAAUUUUCCCUUUUUUGCAGAUCGUGAACCUGUGUCAAUGCUCUCCAUAGAAGAAUCUCUCUACUAAAUAAAAUAAAGGAGUCAGGUUCUAGGGAGCUAUGCUUCUUGAGUUCGAAGCAAAUAAAGAAGUCAAGUUUUCCUAAGCGACUCAGGACAAGCUGCUCCACAGCUAUAUCACUGGCAUAUAAAGCAUCCAGAGAGUCACAGACAAGUCCAAUACUUUUUCAUCAGAGUUCUCCAUACCAAUCAUGACACGCAUCCUUGACUUCACAGACAAACUUGCACAGAAGAUCACUGAAGCGGUUAAGUUCAUUGUUGUUUAACAACACUUCUCCAAGCGGUUAAGUUCAUUGUUGUUUAACAACACUUCUCCAACACUGAUCACGAUGAGGAUGACAGCCAAAGCUCCAACUUACAAACAUCAGUCACACCUUUUAUGCGAGAUAAGCAUUUUACACGGUAGAUGUUCAAUAAUUUUGUUUCUGUUUCUUUUUUAUUUGCUUUUGUUCUUAUGUUUUUUUUUGUAAACAUUUGAUUAGUCCUAUAUUUUGUAAUGACACUAUGAUAUUGUUAUGCUAAUCUUAAAUAUUUGGUCA